rnacentral:rRNA from 1 species
CAGCCGCCGCGGGAACACGUAGGUGGCAAGCGUUGUCCGGAAUUAUUGGGCGUAAAGGGCUCGCAGGCGGUUUCUUAAGUCUGAUGUGAAAGCCCCGGGCUCAACCGGGGAGGGUCAUUGGAAACUGGGAAACUUGAGUGCAGAAGAGGAGAGUGGAAUUCCACGUGUAGCGGUGAAAUGCGUAGAGAUGUGGAGGAACACCAGUGGCGAAGGCGACUCUCUGGUCUGUAACUGACGCUGAGGAGCGAAAGCGUGGGGAGCGAACAGGAUUAGAUACCCCCGUAGUCCCUGUCUCUUAUAC